GCAAGACACAGAAGAGUCAGAUAUGACGGCUGCGAGUCCUGCAGGUGACGGUAACGAACAUUACGAAGGGCGGACUAGCUGAGCGGUUCCGUCAGAUGUUCCCAGUGUACCAUUUGACCGCAACUCAUUCAGUACCGGCCAAUUCUGGACCAACUCUGAAAAGACGUUUAAAAACGUCAUUGGGAGUGAAUGAGUUUUAAUGAAGCGUUUUUUUUUUUUAAAUUAAUCAUCAAUGUCGUUUUUGCAUAGGAAGCGAUUGCAGAUCGAAAUAACGAACCAUACAAACGACUGGAAUUAUAUUCAAAGCGCAGGCCUUCUGCCAAAGCAAAACUGUGGCUGGACACAAUCGUAUUUCAUGUGUUUUGUGGCAUAGCUUCCCGGAAACAGAAAGAAGGUUGAAAACAACACUCAGGAGCGACCAAACAACCGAAACACGAAUCGUCGACUCCCUCAUGCACAUCACGUGAAAUCCCGCGGCUUUCACUUCGAUGACCAAACUGAAGCGCUUUUGGUGCCUUUGACCACACGAUGAUAAUAAAUGCGUCCAAUCAUUUUCUGCAUUGUUGUUGAUCCUCAUGCGCGUUGCAGGCGGGCGCGUGACCCUAUCACACCCGACUUUGGCCAAGAGGCAGGCUUCACCCCAAGAACGGUCGCCAGCCUAACGGCUAAGGGCAAAAUGGAACAAGAGGUCAUGAACCCUAACGAGGAAAAGCGGGAUUGGAAAAGGGAUAGACUCAUUGGUGGUUCAUUGGCGCAUGGAAUCUACAAGAGAGACUAUUUGAGGAAGAAGAGAGAAUAAUGCGACGUGAAUAAUGCGACGCGUGGAUGUGAAAGCGCAGCGGCAGCUCGAGUGUGCAGCCUCUCUGUCGUCUGCCUCUCGUGGACCGCUCAUGUGACCAGGCAACAGCAGAGCCCGUUUUCUGCCCCUCCUCCUCCUCCUCCUGAUGCUCUCCUUCACUUUCCCCGCUAUCACACACAAUCACACAAGAACGAAGACGCUGAGGGGCAUGCAAGUGCAACCAUGCUCAAAUGUGAUAAAAUGGAAGAAAGGAGGAAUGAUUUUCAGAUGGCAAAGGCUGACAGGACAUCGGAGAGGAACGCGGCUGGACAGAAGCGCGCGGGACUUAACGGUGAGCUACUGCUGAGAGCAGCAACUUACCUCCACUGAGCCAGGAGAGUUUAAGCUGUUCACACAACAAAGCGCCUCAUAUCUACGCAGAAACGUGCCGCGCAGACACGCGCGGUCUAAAUGCCUAAAUGCCUUUUAUGGACUCUUCCGUCUUUUCUUGUCGACACAGAGGACUGCACUUUUUGCUCCAAUCUUUCUUUGUGAUAGAAUUAUUUGAAUAAUCACAACAGCCCACACAGUUGGAUUUCUCGGGUCCGAAUCAGUUGAUGGUUCAUCAACAGUGACCGUGUGCCACCCAGUUGGGUCUGUAGGUGACAACAGCAACGCGACCGAACACAAAAUGAAGCAAAACGGCCAUUCGUUCUGAACUUUAAUCACUCCUUGGAGCAGACUAAAACAUGGCGGGAAGCCAAGUGGACAUGAAAGGCGCCACUCCAGUACAUAAUCCUUACUCACGCGGUGAAAAGAACACAGGCUGCUAAUCACAUGUCGAAAUCAAAACAAGGCAGCAAAUACAGAGUUCAAUGGAGGCCAACUGCCACAAGCUCAACCAAAGACAUGUCAAUAUUCAAAUCUGUUCAAUUCCGGGCCUCCCCCUGAAUGACUCCCGAGUGCCGUGCGAGCACAACCACAACACCAUCCUGGUCGCGACGCAUGCUCUUGCUAAUAUUGACGCUUAGGGUUAAAAAACAACCUUAGCGGCAGUGGACUGAUGCUGAGCAUACUUAUUUGUAUCCCUUCUGAAUGUGAUCAGAGUUUCUGUCACACACACAGAGCCAAAAGCAUGACGUGAAGUAAACGGCGUCAUCGUCCACAUGACGUCAAACAUCCCAGCUGAUGCUCCAAAUGUUACUUAUACAAUCCGGGAGUGAGUUCGGGAGGGGUGUGGAGGGGAGAGUGUGCAUGCAAUAGUAAAAAGGACACAUCAGGACAGAGCAGAUGGAGCUGCCGAUUUUGUGCUUCUGUCAGCAAUUCUGACAGGCCUCGCACCCUAGAGCCGGGGGGGGGGG